AACAAAAAGAGAGCAGAGUGUUAGGUGCAUGUGAACUCUGAGGGCUGCACCAACUAGUGCACAGGAUUUUCCUUAUUGUGUCAGAGAUGUUCCCAGAAAAACAGGAACAGGAAAUGGUAAUUCCUUCCCCCUGCCAUUUCAAAACAUACUCAGUGCUCUUUGUAGCGAGGAGGUCAGAGAGCUGACACCAAGGUUGUAAGAGACUGUGAAUGUAGGGCAGGCACUGUGUUUGACAGAGAUCAGGGUAUGUCCAUCCCUCCAAUGGAAGUGGGAUUUCACAUGGUGAAUCCCUCAGUUGAUGGCAGGAGAAAUGGGUGGCCAGGAGACCUCCACCAUGGCACAAGGCACUGCCUGCUCUAAAUGCAUGGAGCAAAUCAGGAGGCUUCACAGAGGAAGCAGAGGAGGAGCCCUUCCAGCCAGACAGGGUCCCCUGAGAGACCAGGAUGCCACACAGCACCUCUGAGAACAGAGACACAAAGUAGGUGAAGCAGUUUGGGGUGGGUGUCAGCUAAUCAGUUUGCCAUUCUUGCACCAGAAAGCCUUUGCAGUUCCAGUCCAGGCGAGCUGCAGGAACGGUAGCCGCUCAUUACCUGAAGUUCUCUGCUGUUUUGGGUACAACAUCUGCGAACAGCUCGAUCUUCAUGCGGCCGACCUCCUGAGGAGACGGGGGCCAGUCCCUCCCCGGGCGCCGCCGCUCCCCGUCCUGGAGCACCCCCACCUGCCCGCCGAUGGUUACAUCGAAGAAAACCACGGGGUUGUUGGGAUUCGCUGCCAGCGCCGACAUCGCGACUACCACUGCCGGAAGCGGAAAUGGCGGCGGAAGUGGAAACGGCGACGAAAGGCGAGAGAGGGCCGGGCGGGCGGUGGGGGUUUGAUCAGCUGAACACUGCCUAUGAGUCGUUUACAGGACAUCCUUCAAUGUUCUGACUGUGCUUGAGCAGAAGUCAUGCUUUCUGUGGCAGAAAGAUGAGCAAGGCCAGGGAUGAGCAGCAGUACAAGAUGAAUGAUGCCUCAAGACGUCUCUGCCAAAAUACAUAUUUACUUCUCUAUGCCAGGCUUCCUCCACCCCGAUAGAUCAAGACCGUGAACAUCACUUUGACCAACUUUAAUUAAAAUUGCAACAACCAGGUUUGUUGCUGGACCUGCUUGUGGGUGAUAACU